rnacentral:rRNA from 1 species
CCCUGGCGGCAUGCCUACCCAUGCAUGUCAACGAGACUUCGGGUCUAGUGGCGCACGGGUGCGUAACGCGUGGGAUGCCUUCGGUUCGGAAUAACAGUUAGAAAUGACUGCUAAUACCGGAUGAUGACUUCGGUCCAAAGAUUUAUCGCCGAGGGAUGAGCCCGCGUAGGAUUAGCUAGUUGGUGAGGUAAAGGCUCACCAAGGCGACGAUCGGUAGCUGGUCUGAGAGGAUGACCAGCCUCACUGGGACUGAGACACGGCCCAGACUCCUACGGGAGGCAGCAGUGGGGAAUAUUGGACAAUGGGCGCAAGCCUGAUCCAGCCAUGCCGCGUGGGUAAUGAAGGCCCUAGGGUUGUAAAGCCCUUUCAGCGGGGAAGAUAAUGACGGUACCCGCAGAAGAAGCCCCGGCUAACUUCGUGCCAGCAGCCGCGGUAAUACGAAGGGGGCUAGCGUUGCUCGGAAUUACUGGGCGUAAAGCGCACGUAGGCGGCUUUGUAAGUUAGAGGUGAAAGCCCAGGGCUCAACCCUGGAAUUGCCUUUAAGACUGCAUCGCUUGAACAUCGGAGAGGUAAGUGGAAUUCCGAGUGUAGAGGUGAAAUUCGUAGAUAUUCGGAAGAACACCAGUGGCGAAGGCGACUUACUGGACGAUUGUUGACGCUGAGGUGCGAAAG